UACAGAGGGUGCAAGCGUUGUUCGGAAUUAUUGGGCGUAAAGAGCUCGUAGGCGGUUUGGUAAGUCGGGUGUGAAAACUCUGGGCUCAACCCAGAGAGGCCACUCGAUACUGCUAUGACUUGAGUACGGUAGGGGAGUGGGGAAUUUCUAGUGUAGCGGUGAAAUGCGCAGAUAUUAGAAGGAACACCAGUGGCGAAGGCGCCACUCUGGGCCGUAACUGACGCUGAGGAGCGAAAGCAUGGGUAGCAAACAGG
rnacentral:rRNA from 1 species